rnacentral:lncRNA from 1 species
AUGAAGACUCUAACAGAGAAGCUGGAGCUCAGUGAGUCAGAGAGAGACAGUCUGCUGUGUGAGGAGGAAGCCAGCUGUCAGAGAGUGACGCGUCUCAGUGAGGAGAGGGAUCAGCUGCAGGAGACACUGCAGCAGCUCCGAGCAGAGCUGGAGGACAAGAUAGAGACGAUGAAGACUCUAACAGAGAAGCUGGAGCUCAGUGAGUCAGAGAGAGACCGUCUGCUGUGUGAGGAGGAAGCCAGCUGUCAGAGAGUGACGUGUCUCAGUGAGGAGAGGGAUCAGCUGCAGGAGACACUGCUGCAGCUCAGAGCAGAGCUGGAGACACUGCAGACUGAGGUCUGUCACUGAGCUGCAUGUAUUUUCAUACACAGCUCAUUAAAGCGUAUUUUCAACCACCUUCCAUAUCUGCACAUGUACAGUGAUGGUGGGAAAUGUAUUUCAUUUUGGUCUUUGAUAAAAUGGUCUGCAGCAGAUGGUGACCACAGUGACGGUAGCAGAUGUUUUGCUCUUAUUUUCCUGGUGGGUGUGCAUCAGUCGAAGUUUGUAUGUCAGGCUGACGACAGUCACCGUUUUGUUUCAGGCCUCUACAACACAAGAGCUUCUACAGUCAGUCCAAGAGGAGCUGUGUGAACAGCAGCAGCUGAACUCUGACCUGCAGAGACUGAAUGAGGAGAAGGAGAGUUCUCUAGAUCAACAGGUUGGUGUCUGAUCACUCACUUUGUUAUCAGCAAUCCCCAAAAAGCCUUUGAAAUCCUGGAGGGAUCGUUUUAUGAAACAUUUAUUUUCAGAGCAGGAAAACACUUAAACUUCUCCUCUCUUCACAGAUAAAGACUCUAACAGAGAAGCUGGAGAUCAUUGAGUCAGAGAGAGACGGUCUGCUGUGCGAGGAGGAAGCCAGCUGUCAGAGAGUGACAUGUGUCAGCGAGGAGAGGGAUGAGCUGCAGGAGACACUGCUGCAGCUCAGAGCAGAGCUGGAGGACAAGAUGGAGACGGUACAGUUCUGCUGUUCUAGUCAUCGGUCAUCCGACUGCAGUUUCUUAAAGCAGCACUUGAAUUGAUCCUCUCUCUCUUUUCUGCAGAUCUCUGCCAUUCAAGAGAAACUGAGGGAACAGCAGCAGCAACCUGAGAGAGUAGAACAAGAGGCCAAGCUGCAACAGGAAGUAAGUCUUGAAGGAUUAGUUCCACAUUAGUGAAUAACAGGCUCAUUGACUGUUGUUGUCUGUCCCCCCACUCCUCUGAAGCUCAUUCAAUCCUUCCAUUAAUCUGUAUCUGUACAAACAUUGGAGUGGAACAAUGACACUUUGUUUAUGGGACCUGAUGGUGUGAACUCCGCUUGGUUAAACCUGGAAAGUGAUGUGACUCUGUCUUUUAUCAUGAGACAUUAUUUGGAAAGUAACUGGAUCUGACCAUUGAUACAUUUAUAGUUAAGUUAAUGGAAUAUAAGACAUCCAAACAGCUACUCCAAACCUGAUCCGAGUGGCGAUGGUGCAGAGCGUGAACCGGUAACCACACACCGGUCUGGUUGUACUUUAUCAAAAUCAAAUGG